rnacentral:rRNA from 1 species
AUUGAACGCUGGCGGCGUGCUUAACACAUGCAAGUCGAACGAAGUGGCGAACGGGUGAGUAACGCGUAAUCAACCUGCCCUUCAGAGGGGGACAACAGUUGGAAACGACUGCUAAUACCGCAUACUGAAGGAGGGGAUUGCGUCUGAUUAGCUAGUUGGAGGGGUAACGGCCCACCAAGGCGAAGAUCAGGGGUCGGUGUGAGAGGAUGAACGGCGCCAUUGGGAAUGAGGAACGGACCAGACUCCUACGGGAAGCAGCAGUGGGGAAUCUUCCGCAAUGGACGAAAGGCGGACGGCGCACAGCCGCGUUGGUGAUGACGGCCUUCGGGUUGUAAAGCUCUGUUAAUCGGGACGCGGUACCGGAAUAGAAAGCCACGGCUAACUACGUGCCAGCAGCCGCGGUAAUAC